rnacentral:rRNA from 1 species
GAAAGAGAGACUAAUACCCCGUAACAUCAUGAUAGGCAUCUAUUGUGGUUGAAAGUUCCGACGGUUUAAGACGGGUACGCGUAUGAUUAGCUAGUUGGUAGUGUAACGGACUACCAAGGCGACGAUCAUUAGGGGAUCUGAGAGGACUACCCCCCACACUGGUACUGAGACACGGACCAGACUCCUACGGGAGGCAGCAGUAAGGAAUAUUGGUCAAUGGAGGCAACUCUGAACCAGCCAUGCCGCGUGCAGGAUGACGGCCCUAUGGGUUGUAAACUGCUUUUGUACAAGAGAAAACCCCAGUACGUGUACUGGGUUGAUAGUAUUGUAAGAAUAAGCAUCGGCCAACUUCGUGCCAGCAGCCGCGGUAAGACGAAGGAUGCAAGCGUUAUCCGGAUUCAUUGGGUUUAAAGGGUGCGUAGGCGGAUUGGUAAGUCAGUGGUGAAAGCCGGCAGCUUAACUGUCGAACGGCCAUUGAUACUGUCGAUCUAGAGUACAGAUGACGUUGGCGGAAUAUGACAUGUAGUGGUGAAAUACUUAGAUAUGUCAUAGAACACCGAUUGCGAAGGCAGCUAACGAAACUGUAACUGACGCUGAGGCACGAAAGUGCGGGGAUCAAACAGGAUUAGAUACCCUGGUAGUCCGCACCGUAAACGAUGAUUACUCGUUGUUGGCGAUAUGACAGUCAGCGACCAAGCGAAAGCGAUAAGUAAUCCACCUGGGGAGUACGCCGGCAACGGUGAAACUCAAAGGAAUUGACGGGGGCCCGCACAAGCGGAGGAGCAUGUGGUUUAAUUCGAUGAUACGCGAGGAACCUUACCUGGGCUUGAAAGUUAGCGACCGGUCCUGAAAGGGAUCUUCCAGCAAUGGCGCGAAACUAGGUGCUGCAUGGCUGUCGUCAGCUCGUGCCGUGAGGUGUUGGGUUAAGUCCCGCAACGAGCGCAACCCCUAUUGUUAGUUACCAGCGAGUAAAGUCGGGGACUCUAACGAAACUGCCCGUGCAAACGGUGAGGAAGGUGGGGAUGACGUCAAGUCAUCACGGCCCUUACGUCCAGGGCUACACACGUGCUACAAUGGUCGGUACAACGGGCAGCUACACAGUGAUGUGAUGCUAAUCUCUAAAAACCGAUCUCAGUUCGGAUUGAAGU